rnacentral:lncRNA from 1 species
ACGUGAAGAACUUCUGGUGGUCAGCCAUAUUGGAUUCGUCUCAUUCUGUAGUUUUGGUUAAAAGAAAUUAAAAUGAAUGGUGAAAAGAAAAGUAGAUUCCGUUUCACAGAAUUAGAAAGAAUAAAAGCUCUGGAAGAGUUUUUUAAUCAAGUUUGCGAAGAUAUUACAAACUGAGAAGAAGAGUUAUGGGGAAGCAUACACACUGUUCUUUGCCGAGAUUCUUUAAGGUUUACGUCUUGUAGCUUGAGAUUAUUAAAAGAGCAUAUACUCGAUCAAAUAAAAAAAUAUAAAAUGUACGAUUCUAUGGAGGCGAAGGAAAGUGGCCGUGAGAGAUUGCAAACAGCAUGGGGAGAUAUAAUUCGACGAAUUAUGAUUGUAUGCCCAAAUUAUGAGAGAUUGGUGAAAAGAGAUGCCAUAUUAAAAGUAACAAAGGACAAAGGCACAACAAAAGAGGCAGGCAAACAACAGAGUGAUGUGGAAAUUGCCCGAAGUAUUCGUAAUGCUGCGUUAGGAAUGUUAUCUCUUGGAAAUGCUGAUGAUGAAAGCAACAAAGAAAAUGUACAUAUUUAAGAUGAAG